rnacentral:rRNA from 1 species
GACGAACGCUGGCGGCGUGCUUAACACAUGCAAGUCGAACGAAGUGGCGAACGGGUGAGUAACGCGUAAUCAACCUGCCCUUCAGAGGGGGACAACAGUUGGAAACGACUGCUAAUACAGCAUACUGAAGGAGGGGAUUGCGUGUGGUUAGCUGGUUGGAGGGUGAACGGCCCACCAAGGCGAUGAUCAGUAGCAGGUUUGGGAGGUGUAACGGCCACAUGGUGACUGGUACACGGCCCAUACUCCUACGGGAGGCAGCAGUGGGGAAUCUGCCGCAAUGGACGAAAGUCUGACGGAGCAACGCCGCGUGAGUGAUGACGGCCUGCGGGUUGUAAAGCUCUGUUAAUCGGGACGCGGUACCGGAAUAGAAAGCCACGGCUAACUACGUGCCAGCAGCCGCGGUAAUAC